AUCGGUUUGCCCUAAUUUUGAGUUUCUGCUUUGAUCAGUUUGCCCUAACUUAAGUAUAAGCUGAACAGAAUCUUCCCUGUUAAUCAGAUUGCCCUAAUUUUUCCUUAAAAAAUCCCUUAAUUCUCAAAUUAGGGUUGCUCAAAAAUUAGGGCUUUUGAAAACCUGGACAUGGAUGAAGGCAUUAUUGUAUCCUACUUGGUUGGCGUGUUAUGGUUUUCUUUGAACUACUUUGUCAUAGAGAAGUUGAUGAACAUACAGCUUUUGUAAGUGAUUUCUGAAAAGUUUUCAAAGCAGUGAAGCAUGUCAGCAGGAUUGUACUUCAAGGAUUUUAUGUGUUCAGGCAUAAAGAGCAGUUUUGAAGAACUUUGUGGAAAAAUUUGGUUAACUUUGUGGUUUUUUUAGUUGGACAUAUUCUGUCACUAAACCAUACAAGGAAUUACUCCCAACUAAAUGAGGAUGGCGGCCGUGUGAGGCCUUUUUUUUGGUUUCACAUUGAACUCUUUUUAAAGUAGUGCCAUCCGUUCAAUCGUCACCAACCUUUGAGGCAAAUUAAAAGUACUGUCUUACAGGAAAUGGAUUUAACUGAGAAAAAUCUGAAGGCGGAGUUGGACAAUGCGAUUGCUGCAUUGGAUGACAGGCAAUCUGGAUAACCUGGUGAACUCUUGGUUGAUUCAACAGUUAAAGCUCAAGAAGAUACAGAAGCUUCGGAAUCCGAUCUACUGGGCAACUUAGAGAACAAGAAAAAAGAUCUGGUCUUUUGCAUAUUUCUCAUAUUGGGUUAAUGGAAAUGAUCGUUCUGGACUUGGAGAAAAAAUGGGUGCAAGUCCAAGAGAAUGCACUGAAGCAGCCUUCUCCUGAUGGGGUAAUAACACUGUCUGGGAAUCCAGUCCCUUGACUGCAGACCUCGAGUGGAAGCAAGUUGUGGAACCGGUUAUGAAAUCAUACAUGGAGGCAACUGAUGGCUCUAACAUAGAAAUUAAAGAGAGCGCUCUAGUGUGACACCAUCAGGAUGCUGAUCCUGACUUCGGAUCCUGCCAAGCUAAGGAAUUGUUGGAUCAUUUGACAGGAGUACUGUCUUCAAACUGCUUGAGCCUGCACCCAUUCAACACCUAGCUCGUGAGUGUAUGGUGAAGACAAGCGAAGAUUAAUGGAGGCGGAUGUAGUGGUGAAGCAUCAAGUCAUGAAUCCGUGCUGUGCUGCGUUGAAAGAGAAAUACUCAAAGCUGGAAGAAAAACGAAAUGCUCUACAACAAGCGGUGAAGAUGCAAAAUGAUGUGAUUGAUAAGCUUCAGAAUGAAAAUCUGAGUCUUAUUAAAGAGAAUGAGGAGGGGAGAGUGCAGGUUGACAUUGAAAGACAGGAGAAUGCAAAAGAAUCAGCUAUGAGAAUAUCUUUGGAGAAUGAGGUCCGUGCUCUUAAAUCUGAGAUACUGUCGUUGCAAUAAAAAGGGAGCUCGGAAUCUCAAGAUCUAGAUGGAGAAGUAAUGCUUCUUUGAACACGAAUUUCUGCAGGGGACAGAAAUAAAUUGGCUCAAGGAGCUUCUUGAGAAAGAGAGAAUCACAGCAGAAUCAGAGUGUAAGAAAGCUGAAGCAGAGAAGAAAGAAGCUGAAAAAGCACGGCAAAUUGAGGAGACAGAAAAAAGUAGGGCUAAUGACGACAGGAGACUUGCCGAUAUUGAACGGAAAAAGUCGGAGGAAAAUGGAGUCCAGUUAGAGAAGCUAAAGGUCGAGGCAAAGAAAAAUCUUGAGAUAGAAAGGCAAAAGGUGAUGCAAGAGAAAAAACGUGCAGAUUCUGAGAUGGAAAAGCAGAAGAGCAAAGGAACCUUGCAGAAAUGUAUCAGAAGAAGGCCAUAGAUGAAAAAUGCUGUGCCAAUGAUUUGUCUCAACAAUUGCAAGAGUAUAAACAACGGUUGGAGAAAUUAAAAAAGGAGAUGGAUGAACAAGAAUCCUCGAAAACAUUGGUUAAGAUGUCUACUGACCUUUCUGACAAAGAGAUGAAACCUGAUGCAACAGAGAGAGGUGGGCUCUUUCCAUUGGAGAUGUUAAAACCGGAAAUGGCUGAAUCAAAGUUGGUUUUGGGAGACUUAAUGUCUGAAAAUGUAAAGAAAAGCAUAAAGGAGCAGAAACAGAAGGUGGUCAGAGAAGAGGCGUGCAGAUUCAGAGAUGAGGAAAGCAGAAGAGCAAAGGGUGAUUGCAGAAGCUAAUAUGAAAAAGGCCAUGGAGGAAAAACGUCGUGCAGAUUAGUUAGCUCAGCAGUUAGAAGACAAUGGACUUAAGAUUGAGGGACUACAAAAUGAAAUGUUAGAAUUUGCCUCCUCUAGAAAACUGGGUGAGGCUUCUGCUGAUCCACCUAAUAUACGCACGAAUUCUGAAACUUCUAAAAUGAAGCUGCUGAAAGAUGAAUUGAAGUUUAAAAAGAAGCAACUGAAGCAUGCCAAAGAAGUUGCUAAGUUGGAAAUUGGCUGAAACAAAAUUCUUCAACAAGAACUGCAUCUCUUAAAGAAGGAAAGUGUCCAAUUUUCGCGUCGUCUGGAUUUACUAAAUAACUGUUUCCCAUACUGCAGUGAAGGUAGAGAUGACAAUGCAAAGAGUGGCAACAUCUUCAAUAUCCCAAGCUUUAACUUGAAGAAGAAGCUCUUCAUGAAACAAUCACAUCAGGUCCACCUUCACUGCAAUAACGACCUGGAUGCCUCUGAUUUUAUGAAAGAAACCAUAGAUAGUAAUGCUCCAUUGCUUCCUCGUAUUGUCAGAAACUGUGCUCAGUGCACCUCAGGAAAGAGGUGCUUUCUCAGUCACGGCAUCAGCUAUAGUGGCAGGAGAGAAAUCCAAAUCAAAAUCACAGUUAAACAUUUCCAGUUUGUCUGAUGAAGUUACCAGAACAAGGUGCAUUGAUGCUGUUGGGAGGAAGGCUGGGCAUGGUAAAAAGAGAAAGAGGAAUGUUAAUGCACUUAAAUCCAUUGAACAUUUGUACUCUGAGGGUGAAAACUGGCAGCUCCGGAUCGAGGAGAAGUUGUCCAUGCUUCAUGGCAUGCUAAACAGUCAAACAGGCAAAUUCCUGCAAAAGAACCCAUGCAUGAUGUAUGACUUGGAAUGUAAUCCCAUUGCCUUGCCAGCCAGGGCGCACAAGAAAAGAAAGGCAUCUUGUGAAGAAGUAGCUCUGAAGCAUUUGUCUGACCUUAAUGGAUGUACGGACAUUCAAAGAGGAGAAGUGCAGGGUUUUGAUGCUGUAAUGGGUGAUUGGGACAAUUUGGGAAGUCAUGAGAAACUGGAAGGGAACUUUCUGAAGCUGCUUGACUUGCAUAAUGCAGUUGACGAGGACCACUACCGUAAAACUAUUCAAGUGCUGCUGUCACCAACUCUUCCUGUGAUUGAGGUUCAAAACAACGAGUCAGUUGAAUUAGAUAACACUAGAGGUUAUGCAGUUGAUGAGGACCGCUCCCGUAAAUUUGAAUUAAACGAACGAGUCAUUUGAACAGGCGAAUCAGGGGCCUACUUGCAAAGCUGAUGUUGUUAACACGGACAAGGAGUCCGAUUGAUGGAAAUUUGGUACUUCUAAAAUUUCCCAUGUUCCACCAUUGAAUAAGAAUGGAGGUAUUGCUAAUCCUUUUGAGAAUGUGACAAACAACGGAAAUGUUAAGUGGAAUACCGUAUAUGAGGACAAUACUUGUCCCCACCAGAUGGAGCGUUCCCAUGCAGAGAAGGGGAUGCCAGAUAUUUACAGUUGUGGCUAUGGAGGGGCAAAUAAUUUGUGUCAAAGUGCACUUGUACGUGCGGGCAAUGAUAUUCGUAGAUGCUAUGUUGUGUUUUCUGAUACCAAGGACUACAGCAGCAUGUCUAGGAUAUUUUGUGCUGCUGGAACUUGUAUGUCUGAGUUUUCUACUAUUUCUCAAAUGGAUCUGGUGCAAAAGAUUCUGCCUGCUCUUUUGAGUUUUGAAGAUCUAUCACAGAAGGAGAAGGCAUGCGUGUUUUUUUUUUUCAGUUUUACUGAAUGCUAUGGAGGAAUUCCGAAAUUUUCUGAAGAGUGGUUCUAUCCGCUUUUUUGAAUCCUUUGCUGGACACAUGCACACAGCGGUUUCUGAUAUGCAGACAAGAUGUAUACUUGCAGAAUUAUGCGCCUCUGGGGAGCUGCUUAUACUCAUCGAGGAUUUCCUUAUGAACAGAAGAAUUCUGGUGUAUAGUGAUGUUUCUUCUCAUUCAUUACCUCUUCGUGGUUCAAUGGUCGACCUCUUUCUGAAUGGGUAAGAAGAACAUCUGUCAUACGAAAUGGCUCGAACACCUCAGUUACUGGCGGGGAGCAUCUUAUUAGCAGCAUUAUGUGCAGCGAUUGACCACAUUGGGUUCUUAUGUGAGGCUUCCUACAACAUCUUCAGGAUGCACAAAUUGGAUGGUUCCUUGGUGCUGACUAUUCUUCAUGUUUUUGCUUUUGUAUGUGGAUCUAAAUAUUUCAAUCAUAAAGAUUAUGGUUUGAUAAUGACGUCAUCAAAUCCUUAGUCCCAUUUCUGGAGAAGAGAAAUAUAGCAAGUGAUUCCAAUUCAUGGCCGGAGUUCCCUACGUGUACCCAAUGCCCCUUUUCCAUGGAUGCAAUUUCUGUGGAAAUUGUUGUUUUAUCUCUCUUGCAACAACUUCAGAAAUAUGCAUUAUCUGGUACCGUUAAUCAAGAUCCAAAUAAAGUAGAAAAUUCAUCUUCGCUCCUGUCCUACAAUGAGAAGGCUGAGAACACCUGGAGGCUGGAGGGAGAAUUAAAUCUCCAACCUAUGAACUGCAGUGCAUCCAGCUGUUUAAUCAGGCUUGAUAUGCCCACCGCUCAAGUAAAGUCUCUUUGUGAUGGGAAUUUUUGCCAUUUCAGUGAUGUAAUCUUGCUAGUGGAGCUUGUAGCAGGGAAUAUGGCUUGGAGUUGAUGCUAGUGGGUAUGAAGACAACGGUGUUGAAAACCUGAGAUACAGGUUGUCUUCAUUUCUGUGCCAGAAUUCUUCGAGGAAAUUGUCCCGCCUUUCUCAAAUCGCCAUUGUCAAGGCUUUACUUGGUCUCCUUUCUCUGAGUUUUACAGAACUUAUUAAGAGUACCUUCGAGCUUCCAGCAGUUGUAAGUCCACCUAAUGAUAAUCCCCUGAUUGUAUUAGCUAGGGAGUGGUACUCUGGACUAAACAAUAAGCUGUAGUCCUUGAAAAUCAGUCUUCUACAAUCUGCUAGUGUGUCCUGUUGCACAACUUCGUUGUUAACUGCUGCCUUAUUGAUCUGGUCUGGACUACGUUUGAAUUGGGAUUUUGUUGUAGCAUUACUUACAGCUAGGGUCAGAAAGUAGAAUUUCUUGCUUCGCCAUGGUUAAGAGGCAAGUUCUUUGCAUGUGACAAGGAGUACAAAACAUUUAGUGAUGAUAUAUGGCAAUUUUGUGUUACCUCUGUUUUCCUAAAA